AACGAACGCUGGCGGCAGGCCUAACACAUGCAAGUCGAGCGAGGUAGCAAUACCUGGCGGCGGACGGGUGAGUAACGCGUGGGAACGUGCCCUUUGCUACGGAAUAGCCUCGGGAAACUGGGAGUAAUACCGUAUGUGCCCUUCGGGGGAAAGAUUUAUCGGCAAAGGAUCGGCCCGCGUUGGAUUAGGUAGUUGGUGAGGUAAUGGCUCACCAAGCCGACGAUCCAUAGCUGGUUUGAGAGGAUGAUCAGCCACACUGGGACUGAGAUACGGCCCAGACUCCUACGGGAGGCAGCAGUGGGGAAUCUUAGACAAUGGGCGCAAGCCUGAUCUAGCCAUGCCGCGUGAGCGAUGAAGGCCUUAGGGUUGUAAAGCUCUUUCAGUGGGGAAGAUAAUGACUGUACCCACAGAAGAAGCCCCGGCUAACUCCGUGCCAGCCGCCGCGGUAA
rnacentral:rRNA from 1 species